GCUUUUUUUGGGGUUUUUUUGGUGAUUUUUGGGGUUUUUUUUGGUGUUUUUUUAGGGUUUUUAUGAGCUUUUUUUGGGGUUUUUUUGGUGAUUUUUGGUGUUUUUUUGAUGAUCUUUGGGUUUUUUUGAGCUUUUUUUAAUGGUCUUUUUGGGCCUUUUUUGGUGGUUUUUGGGUCAUUUUGUGCUGGAGGCGGGGGAUGUUUUUGGGGUAUUUCUGGAUAUUUUUGGGAUAAUUUUGGGGUAUUUUUGGGAUAUUUUGGGGUAUUUUUGGGAUAUUUUUGGGUAUUUUUGGGAUAUUUUUGGGUUAUUUUUGGAUAUUUUGGGACAUUUUGGGUGUCACAGCAUUUGCAGCCGGGCUGGGCGGAAUCAGGGAGCUGGAGGUGGGGGAUGUUUUUGGGAUAUUUUGGGAUAUUUUGGGAUAUUUUGGGAUAAUUUUGGGAUAUUUUUGGGAUAUUUUUGGGAUAUUUUGGGAUAUUUUUUGGAUAUUUUGGGAUAUUUUGGGGGUCACUCACAGCGUUGGCAGCCGGGCUGGGCGGGAUCGGGGAGCUGGACGUGGUGGAUGUUUCUGGGAUAUUUUAGGGAUAUUUUGGGAUAUUUUUGGGAUAAUUUUUGGAUAAUUUUGGGAUAUUUUGGGGGUCACUCACAGCGUUGGCAGCCGGGCUGGGCGGGAUCGGGGAGCUGGAGGCGGGGGAUGUUUUUGGGAUAUUUUGGGAUAAUUUUUGGAUAAUUUUGGGAUAUUUUGGGGGUCACUCACAGCAUUUGCAGCCGGGCUGGGCGGGAUCGGGGAGCUGGAGGCGGGGGAUGUUUCUGGGGUAUUUUUGGGAUAUUUUGGGAUAUUUCUGGAUAAUUUUUGGAUAAUUUUUGGAUAUUUUGGGGGUCACUCACAGCGUUGGCAGCCGGGCUGGGCGGGAUCGGGGAGCUGGACGUGGUGGAGGUCGGGGUGCUGCUGCUCUGGUUGAAGAUCUCGUCCUCCAUCUGGGAGUGGCUGGGGGGGGACGUGGCCACCAGAGCCUGCGCUGGGGGGGCACGGGGGGGUCACCCUGAGCAUCCCCCCCCCCCAAAAACCCCCCGGAACCCCCCGACUUCCUCCCCAAAAAAAUCCCCU
rnacentral:lncRNA from 1 species